UAUUUUGAACCGCAUGGUUCAAAAGUGAAAGACGGUCUUGCUGUCACUUAUAGAUGGAUCCGCGCUGCAUUAGCUAGUUGGUAAGGUAACGGCUUACCAAGGCAACGAUGCAUAGCCGACCUGAGAGGGUGAUCGGCCACACUGGAACUGAGACACGGUCCAGACUCCUACGGGAGGCAGCAGUAGGGAAUCUUCCGCAAUGGGCGAAAGCCUGACGGAGCAACGCCGCGUGAGUGAUGAAGGUCUUCGGAUCGUAAAACUCUGUUAUUAGGGAAGAACAUAUGUGUAAGUAACUGUGCACAUCUUGACGGUACCUAAUCAGAAAGCCACGGCUAACUACGUGCCAGCAGCCGCGGUAAUACGUAGGUGGCAAGCGUUAUCCGGAAUUAUUGGGCGUAAAGCGCGCGUAGGCGGUUUUUUAAGUCUGAUGUGAAAGCCCACGGCUCAACCGUGGAGGGUCAUUGGAAACUGGAAAACUUGAGUGCAGAAGAGGAAAGUGGAAUUCCAUGUGUAGCGGUGAAAUGCGCAGAGAUAUGGAGGAACACCAGUGGCGAAGGCGACUUUCUGGUCUGUAACUGACGCUGAUGUGCGAAAGCGUGGGGAUCAAACAGGAUUAGAUACCCUGGUAGUCCACGCCGUAAACGAUGAGUGCUAAGUGUUAGGGGGUUUCCGCCCCUUAGUGCUGCAGCUAACGCAUUAAGCACUCCGCCUGGGGAGUACGACCGCAAGGUUGAAACUCAAAGGAAUUGACGGGGACCCGCACAAGCGGUGGAGCAUGUGGUUUAAUUCGAAGCAACGCGAAGAACCUUACCAAAUCUUGACAUCCUUUGACAACUCUAGAGAUAGAGCCUUCCCCUUCGGGGGACAAAGUGACAGGUGGUGCAUGGUUGUCGUCAGCUCGUGUCGUGAGAUGUUGGGUUAAGUCCCGCAACGAGCGCAACCCUUAAGCUUAGUUGCCAUCAUUAAGUUGGGCACUCUAAGUUGACUGCCGGUGACAAACCGGAGGAAGGUGGGGAUGACGUCAAAUCAUCAUGCCCCUUAUGAUUUGGGCUACACACGUGCUACAAUGGACAAUACAAAGGGCAGCGAAACCGCGAGGUCAAGCAAAUCCCAUAAAGUUGUUCUCAGUUCGGAUUGUAGUCUGCAACUCGACUACAUGAAGCUGGAAUCGCUAGUAAUCGUAGAUCAGCAUGCUACGGUGAAUACGUUCCCGGGUCUUGUACACACCGCCCGUCACACCACGAGAGUUUGUAACACCCGAAGCCGGUGGAGUAACCUUUUAGGAGCUAGCCGUCGAAGGUGGGACAAAUGAUUGGGGUGAAGUCGUAACAAGGUAGCCGUAUCGGAAGGUGCGGCUGGAUCACCUCCUUUCUAAGGA
rnacentral:rRNA from 2 species